AUGGCCGGAGAGGCAGCAGCACCCCGAGCUGUCAGGCGUUCCGCCGCGGCCGCGAGGCCCGCCGGCCGGCGGGGAGCUACGCCCGGACGGCCAGCAGGCCCGCGGGAGUGGGGCUGCCGCGGCUGAGGCGAGGCGGGCCGCGCGCGUCGGCGUCACAGCCCGCGGCAGAGGCGCCCAGGGCGGCCGGGCCCACGACGCCGAAAGCGCCGCUGCGGUUGCCGCCUCGGAGGCUCCCCCGGGCCCCGGCGGCUGGACCCGGCGCGGGCGGGAGGCUCGGGCGGGCGGUCCGGCCCGGGACUCGGGUUUGGGCGACCAGGAGGUGCCGGUGGCCGCGCUCGGACCCGGUGACUUAAGAGAUUAAAAUUAAUUUGGUUGCUGUUGGUUCUGAACAAAUAAUGAGUUCUUUUAUUUGAGGUAUGCCAUUUUGAAGACUGAGACGUUGGAGUUUUAUCCUAGAGGAUAAAGGAAAUCUUUGGGAAAGUCAGUAUUUUAUAUAGCAAAAAUAUGAACCUCAAACUGAAUCCUCUAAAGGCCCCAUACAAUGAAGUAGACAUUGGUGGAAACAUUUACACCCAGUCAGCUUGAAGAGUUUCAAAUGGACCCUACCACUGAGAAAUCAAGAUGGCAGUCUACUAUGGGGAAUUGAGGAAAAAUGGAUUAAUACAAGAGUCCUGUGAUAAUAUACAACCAAGACAGGGUUCUUUUAACAUGGAUUCCAUGCAGUGAAUGAAGACAUAGGUUUCUUACCCAACACAAAUGGACAGUGGAUUUGACUUUCUAAAGACUUUUUUUGUGGACAUUUUGACAUUUGGAGAAGAAAGAUGGCACACUAACCCAGAUAAUAGUUUUUAUGCCUGGAAUUUUUUGCAGUUUGAUUUGUAUGCGUAUGACCUCUUGAAAUGUUAAUUUUUAAUAAAAUUUGUAACACUUAAAAAUUUCUCAGUUUGGGUUUUUUUUUUUAAGUGGAAGUUUAAUUAAAUGUUUAGUUUUAUUUUAGUAAUACUUUGGCCUUUGUAGUUGCCGAGUGGUAAAGUGUACUGAAUAUGAAUAAAGCUGGUAAAUUGGAAAUGGUGUAAUCGAAAACAUUUUACUUGGUUUAUGAAGAUUUACGUUUUUCACAAAGUUGUGCUCUUAGAUGGUCAUUUGGUUUAAAUACUGUUUUGUUUGUGCUUUCAUGAAACACCUUUCAAAACAACUCAAUGGGUAAUAAUAGAAUCUGAUUUUAAUCUGCCACAAGAUUUUAAUGAACUUGAAACAAACUGCUUGUUGCUCGAAAAUUCAGGAUGAGUGAUACACAUAUACUUCUGAAUUAUUUUGUGUUGAUUGAAAUGGUUUCUUAAGCUUUUUAAUACUAUAAAUACAUCUUGCUAUAGAAUAUUCAUCUGAAUAUUUAAAUUAAUGUCUCCUAUUGUCUUACUAUUAGAGGAAGAAGUGUUGGAUUUAUGGGUUAGGGUCCUUGGAGUAUUCACAAUUUUUUAAAUUUGAAAUUAUGUGUGUAAUCCAUUUUAUAUAACUUUGAAGUAGGAUUAAUAUCUUGUAUCGUCUUUAUUUUGUACAAUUGGGGAUUUAGAAUAAAUGAAUUGCACCCUGCCA
rnacentral:lncRNA from 1 species